rnacentral:rRNA from 1 species
UACGGAGGAUCCGAGCGUUAUCCGGAUUUAUUGGGUUUAAAGGGUGCGCAGGCGGGAGAUUAAGUCGGCGGUGAAAUUUUGCAGCUCAACUGUAAAAGUGCCUUCGAAACUGGUUUCCUUGAGUGUGGAUGAAGUAGGCGGAAUUUGUGGUGUAGCGGUGAAAUGCAUAGAUAUCACGAGGAACUCCGAUUGCGCAGGCAGCUUACUAAACCAUAACUGACGCUCAGGCACGAAGGCGUGGGGAUCAAACAGGAUUAGAUACCCGCGUAGU